rnacentral:lncRNA from 1 species
CUUCGCUUCUCCUCAAGGCAUUCCAGUCCUUCAACCUAACAUGAUCUGCUUGUUCGAACGCUACGCGGGUGACAUUAGCUGGCGUCACUCUGAGAUUCUUCUCCCUGGUACAGAUGUAAUGUUAUAACACACCACUAAUAGUGUUUUCAUUAUAUAUGAUAUGUUACGAAGAACAAUCCUUAUGUAAAUGUAAUUUGCAUAUCGACAGAUAAAAGAAUCAAGGGCAAAGGUGACACUGGUGGCUAGAAUGGCGUGUUCAGUUGGGAACUAUGAUUAUAUAUUUGAUUGGGAGUUUCAAAUGGAUGGUUUGAUUCGUGUUACGGUAUGGUUACAUUAUGUAUGCUUAUCCAUUUAUAAUUUCUCUUAAUAGUUCUCAUAAUGAAAAACGUUAUAAAUAGGUCGCUGCCUCAGGGAUGUUGAUGGUGAAAGGAACGGCUUACCAAAACGUUGAAGACUUGGGUGAGAAAGAGGAGGAUUCUGGACCGUUGAUCUCAGAAAACGUUAUAGGAGUCGUCCACGAUCAUUUCAUAUCGUUUCAUCUAGACAUGGACAUUGACGGGUCAGCCAACAACUCGUUCGUUAAGGUUCAUCUAGAGAAGCAGAGAGUUCCGCCUGGAAAAUCAAGGAGAAAGAGUUAUUUGAAGGUCAAGAAAUAUGUAGCCAAGACUGAGAAAGAUGCUCAGAUCAAAUUGAGCCUGUAUGACCCCUACGAGUUCCAUUUUGUGAACCCUAACCGGCUUUCUCGUUUAGGGAACCCGGCCGGUUACAAGCUCGUACCUGGUGGUAAUGCUGCAAGUUUGCUCGAUCAUGAUGAUCCACCGCAAAUUAGAGGAGCUUUCACAAACAAUCAGGUACUCGGUUUAAGCUCCGUUUGAAAGGUUC